CAUUCCAAGAAUUCCUCCAUAGGUAAUAACCACAAUCACCACGUGGCAACUAACUCCACCCCAUGAACAGCAAUCCGUGCUUUCAUUCCAAGAAUUCCUCCAUAGGUAAUAACCACAAUCAUCAUACACAGAAAUAGUAUUUUUGAAUUCGAGCAAGGCAGCUCUCUGUGCUGGGAGGCAUAAGUGAGCUGAAGGAAGAAAAGAGGAAGGGGAACUCGAUGAGAAAUGGACCUGGAAAUGCAAGAGCGUUAAAAGCAGGCAAAGGAUUUGGUACAACAUCCUAAUUACCUUUCCCAUAUUUUCUCGAGACAAAAGGAAAGUAUGAAACAAGGGUCGUCGAAAAAGGGCAAGUUAUGGAGGUGUACUUAAAAAUGAGUUGUGGCUGAGGCAGGCGGAGGGACAUAAAAAUAGAAGAAGCGGUGGACAAGUGGAGACAUCUGUUUUUC
rnacentral:lncRNA from 1 species